rnacentral:rRNA from 1 species
GAUAACUGGAUGAUCUUUCCCAAGAGCUUAUAUCGACAAGAAGAUUUGACACCUCGAUGUCGGCUCUUUGCCACAUGGGAUUGUAGUAUGUUCCAAGGGGUUGGGCUGUUCGCCUAUUAAAGCGAUACGUGAGUCGGGUUCAAAAAGUCUUGACACAGUUC